GCUUAAAGGCUCGGAGCAGACGAGGAAGUGUCAGGGGAAGUGUCACAGCACCCGCAGAGCCCCGGCCAUGCUGCCCCUCCGGCGUGCCCACCUGCUCCUGCUGCUCGCCCUGCUCAGCCUGUGCCUGUCCCUCGGCCAGGGGAACGAUGCGGCGUCUCCUCCGAAAGAUGCUGCCCCGAGCAACACCACCGGCAGCAUCAGCCUGAGCCCACCCUGCGCCAGCCCCCCGCUCCUCUCCGUGGCCCUGGGGGUGCUGGCAGCGCUCCUGCUGCCCCUGCGCUGAGCGGGGGCUCCAGGCUCGCCCCCCGCCCCCGGAGCCUCCCGAAACCCUGCCCAGGAUGGCAUCCCCGGCACCGCUCCCGUUCCUGCCGCCCUCCGCCCGCCUCGUCCCGCCUGCCCCGGAGCGAGCCCCGGCCUGGGGAGCAAUAAACGCGCUGGUGCCCGGACCUCGGGCUCGGCUCCGCCUUC